ensembl:snRNA U6 U6 spliceosomal RNA
GUGCUCACUUCGGUAGCACAUAUACUAAAAUUAGAAUAAUACAGAGAAGACUACUAGCAUGGCCUUGGUAUGAAGAUGACACACAAAUUCAUGAAGCGUUCCAAUAAAUA